GGUUCCUACGGGGCGCAGCAGUCGGGAAUAUUGCGCAAUGGAGGAAACUCUGACGCAGUGACGCCGCGUAUAGGAAGAAGGUUUUCGGAUUGUAAACUAUUGUCGUUAGGGAAGAGAAAGGACAGUACCUAAGGAGGAAGCUCCGGCUAACUACGUGCCAGCAGCCGCGGUAAUACGUAUGGGGCAAGCGUUAUCCGGAUUUACUGGGUGUAAAGGGAGCCUAGGCGGCCUGGCAAGCCUGAUGUGAAAUACCGGUGCCCAACCCCGGGGCUGCAUUGGGAACUGCCAGGCUGGAGUGCCGGAGG
rnacentral:rRNA from 1 species